rnacentral:misc_RNA from 1 species
GAAGAAAAUGUCUCAUCAAUUUGUUCAUCAUGUAUUUUUAAGUUUCAUAAGCAAUACCUUUGGAGAUCAUCUUCAUACAGCUUUGUUAACUGCUGGUAUCCCUUCAUUUAGACCUGAUGAUAAAAAGCUGCAGAAUGCAAUUCAAGAAUCAAGAAUUCUAAUAGCUAUCAUUUCAAAAGACUAUGCUUCUUCACAUAGAUGCCUUGAUGAACUCACCCAUAUGAUUCAAACCAGAAAAUCUUUGGGGAAUUUUCUUCUCCCUGUAUUUUAUGAUGUCGAUCCAUCAGAUGUGAGGAAGCAGAAAGGGACGUUUGAACAACCUUUCUUUAACUUCGAAAAGAGGUAUAAAACAGAGAAGGUGGAUCAAUGGAGGGCUGAUUUGAGAGAAGUUGCUG